rnacentral:rRNA from 1 species
AUUGAACGCUGGCGGCAUGCCUUACACAUGCAAGUCGAACGGCAGCACGGGAGCAAUCCUGGUGGCGAGUGGCGAACGGGUGAGUAAAGUAUCGGAACGUGCCCAGUCGUGGGGGAUAACGUAGCGAAAGUUACGCUAAUACCGCAUACGAUCUAUGGAUGAAAGCGGGGGAUCGCAAGACCUCGCGCGAUUGGAGCGGCCGAUAUCAGAUUAGGUAGUUGGUGGGGUAAAGGCUACCCAAGCCGACGAUCUGUAGCUGGUCUGAGAGGACGACCAGCCACACUGGGACUGAGACACGGCCCAGACUCCUACGGGAGGCAGCAGUGGGGAAUUUUGGACAAUGGGCGAAAGCCUGAUCCAGCCAUGCCGCGUGCAGGAUGAAGGCCUUCGGGUUGUAAACUGCUUUUGUACGGAACGAAAAGGUUUGGCCUAAUAAGCUGAGCUCAUGACGGUACCGUAAGAAUAAGCACCGGCUAACUACGUGCCAGCAGCCGCCGUAA